rnacentral:pre_miRNA from 13 species
UAAUCUAUAUGUGGCAAAUUUUUAUUUAGUUGUGAUAGAUCCACACCUAACUGAUCAGAAUUACUUGUUAUUGCAAGUUUGACAACAUCAUUGACACUGAAAAAUAGAGGACAACUACUGUGUGAUUAAUAAAAAUUUUAGAUU